AUUGAACGCUGGCGGCAUGCCUUACACAUGCAAGUCGAACGGCAGCACGGAGCUUGCUCUGGUGGCGAGUGGCGAACGGGUGAGUAAUAUAUCGGAACGUACCCUUGGGUGGGGGAUAACGUAGCGAAAGUUACGCUAAUACCGCAUACGAUCUACGGAUGAAAGUGGGGGAUUCGCAAGAACCUCAUGCUCAUGGAGCGGCCGAUAUCUGAUUAGCUAGUUGGUAGGGUAAAAGCCUACCAAGGCAUCGAUCAGUAGCUGGUCUGAGAGGACGACCAGCCACACUGGAACUGAGACACGGUCCAGACUCCUACGGGAGGCAGCAGUGGGGAAUUUUGGACAAUGGGCGAAAGCCUGAUCCAGCAAUGCCGCGUGAGUGAAGAAGGCCUUCGGGUUGUAAAGCUCUUUUGUCAGGGAAGAAACGGUGGUUUCUAAUACAGAUCACUAAUGACGGUACCUGAAGGAUAAGCACCGGCUAACUACGUGCCAGCAGCCGCGGUAAUACGUAGGGUGCAAGCGUUAAUCGGAAUUACUGGGCGUAAAGCGUGCGUAGGCGGUUAUGUAAGACAGAUGUGAAAUGCCCGGGCUCAACCUGGGAACUGCAUUUGUGACUGCAUGGCUAGAGUUUGGCAGAGGGGGGUAGAAUUCCACGUGUAGCAGUGAAAUGCGUAGAUAUGUGGAGGAACACCGAUGGCGAAGGCAGCCCCCUGGGUCAAGACUGACGCUCAUGCACGAAAGCGUGGGGAGCAAACAGGAUUAGAUACCCUGGUAGUCCACGCCCUAAACGAUGUCUACUAGUUGUCGGGUCUUAAUUGACUUGGUAACGCAGCUAACGCGUGAAGUAGACCGCCUGGGGAGUACGGUCGCAAGAUUAAAACUCAAAGGAAUUGACGGGGACCCGCACAAGCGGUGGAUGAUGUGGAUUAAUUCGAUGCAACGCGAAAAACCUUACCUACCCUUGACAUGGCUGGAAUCCCCGAGAGA
rnacentral:rRNA from 1 species